rnacentral:rRNA from 1 species
GUAGGGCGGGACACGUGGUAUCCUGUCUGAAUAUGGGGGGACCAUCCUCCAAGGCUAAAUACUCCUGACUGACCGAUAGUGAACCAGUACCGUGAGGGAAAGGCGAAAAGAACCCCGGCGAGGGGAGUGAAAAAGAACCUGAAACCGUGUACGUACAAGCAGUGGGAGCACAGAGCAAUCUGUGUGACUGCGUACCUUUUGUAUAAUGGGUCAGCGACUUAUAUUCUGUAGCAAGGUUAACCGAAUAGGGGAGCCGAAGGGAAACCGAGUCUUAACUGGGCGUUAAGUUGCAGGGUAUAGACCCGAAACCCGGUGAUCUAGCCAUGGGCAGGUUGAAGGUUGGGUAACACUAACUGGAGGACCGAACCGACUAAUGUUGAAAAAUUAGCGGAUGACUUGUGGCUGGGGGUGAAAGGCCAAUCAAACCGGGAGAUAGCUGGUUCUCCCCGAAAGCUAUUUAGGUAGCGCCUCGUGAAUUCAUCUCCGGGGGUAGAGCACUGUUUCGGCAAGGGGGUCAUCCCGACUUACCAACCCGAUGCAAACUGCGAAUACCGGAGAAUGUUAUCACGGGAGACACACGGCGGGUGCUAACGUCCGUCGUGAAGAGGGAAACAACCCAGACCGCCAGCUAAGGUCCCAAAGUCAUGGUUAAGUGGGAAACGAUGUGGGAAGGCCCAGACAGCCAGGAUGUUGGCUUAGAAGCAGCCAUCAUUUAAAGAAAGCGUAAUAGCUCACUGGUCGAGUCGGCCUGCGCGGAAGAUGUAACGGGGCUAAACCAUGCACCGAAGCUGCGGCAGCGACGCUUAUGCGUUGUUGGGUAGGGGAGCGUUCUGUAAGCCUGCGAAGGUGUGCUGUGAGGCAUGCUGGAGGUAUCAGAAGUGCGAAUGCUGACAUAAGUAACGAUAAAGCGGGUGAAAAGCCCGCUCGCCGGAAGACCAAGGGUUCCUGUCCAACGUUAAUCGGGGCAGGGUGAGUCGACCCCUAAGGCGAGGCCGAAAGGCGUAGUCGAUGGGAAACAGGUUAAUAUUCCUGUACUUGGUGUUACUGCGAAGGGGGGACGGAGAAGGCUAUGUUGGCCGGGCGACGGUAGUCCCGGUUUAAGCGUGUAGGCUGGUUUUCCAGGCAAAUCCGGAAAAUCAAGGCUGAGGCGUGAUGACGAGGCACUACGGUGCUGAAGCAACAAAUGCCCUGCUUCCAGGAAAAGCCUCUAAGCAUCAGGUAACAUCAAAUCGUACCCCAAACCGACACAGGUGGUCAGGUAGAGAAUACCAAGGCGCUUGAGAGAACUCGGGUGAAGGAACUAGGCAAAAUGGUGCCGUAACUUCGGGAGAAGGCACGCUGAUAUGUAGGUGAAGCGACUUGCUCGUGGAGCUGAAAUCAGUCGAAGAUACCAGCUGGCUGCAACUGUUUAUUAAAAACACAGCACUGUGCAAACACGAAAGUGGACGUAUACGGUGUGACGCCUGCCCGGUGCCGGAAGGUUAAUUGAUGGGGUCAGCGCAAGCGAAGCUCUUGAUCGAAGCCCCGGUAAACGGCGGCCGUAACUAUAACGGUCCUAAGGUAGCGAAAUUCCUUGUCGGGUAAGUUCCGACCUGCACGAAUGGCGUAAUGAUGGCCAGGCUGUCUCCACCCGAGACUCAGUGAAAUUGAACUCGCUGUGAAGAUGCAGUGUACCCGCGGCAAGACGGAAAGACCCCGUGAACCUUUACUAUAGCUUGACACUGAACAUUGAGCCUUGAUGUGUAGGAUAGGUGGGAGGCUUUGAAGUGUGGACGCCAGUCUGCAUGGAGCCGACCUUGAAAUACCACCCUUUAAUGUUUGAUGUUCUAACGUGGACCCGUAAUCCGGGUUGCGGACAGUGUCUGGUGGGUAGUUUGACUGGGGCGGUCUCCUCCUAAAGAGUAACGGAGGAGCACGAAGGUUGGCUAAUCCUGGUCGGACAUCAGGAGGUUAGUGCAAUGGCAUAAGCCAGCUUGACUGCGAGCGUGACGGCGCGAGCAGGUGCGAAAGCAGGUCAUAGUGAUCCGGUGGUUCUGAAUGGAAGGGCCAUCGCUCAACGGAUAAAAGGUACUCCGGGGAUAACAGGCUGAUACCGCCCAAGAGUUCAUAUCGACGGCGGUGUUUGGCACCUCGAUGUCGGCUCAUCACAUCCUGGGGCUGAAGUAGGUCCCAAGGGUAUGGCUGUUCGCCAUUUAAAGUGGUACGCGAGCUGGGUUUAGAACGUCGUGAGACAGUUCGGUCCCUAUCUGCCGUGGGCGCUGGAGAACUGAGGGGGGCUGCUCCUAGUACGAGAGGACCGGAGUGGACGCAUCACUGGUGUUCGGGUUGUCAUGCCAAUGGCACUGCCCGGUAGCUAAAUGCGGAAGAGAUAAGUGCUGAAAGCAUCUAAGCACGAAACUUGCCCCGAGAUGAGUUCUCCCUGACUCCUUGAGAGUCCUGAAGGAACGUUGAAGACGACGACGUUGAUAGGCCGGGUGUGUAAGCGCAGCGAUGCGUUGAGCUAACCGGUACUAAUGAACCGUGAGG